GUGCUCAAUUUGGCAGCACAUAUACUAAAAUUGGAAUGAUACAGAGAUUAGCAGAGCCCUUGCAUAAGGAUGACACACAAAUUCAUGAAGCAUUCCAUAUUAAA
ensembl:snRNA U6 U6 spliceosomal RNA